UCCUCGAUAGUCUAGUGGUGAGGAUAUCGGCUUGUCAUCUCACGAUUCGCCGGGGACCGGGGUUCAAUUCCCCGUCGAGGAG
rnacentral:tRNA from 1 species